rnacentral:rRNA from 1 species
UACAGAGGUCUCAAGCGUUGUUCGGAUUCAUUGGGCGUAAAGGGUGCGUAGGCGGCGCGGUAAGUCGGGUGUGAAAUUUCGAGGCUUAACUUCGAAACUGCAUUCGAUACUGCCGUGCUUGAGGACUGGAGAGGAGACUGGAAUUUACGGUGUAGCGGUGAAAUGCGUAGAUAUCGUAAGGAAGACCAGUGGCGAAGGCGGGUCUCUGGGCCGAUACUGACGCUGGAGGAGCGAAAGCCGUGGGGAGCGAACAGG